AUUAUGAUAGAUUGAUUUUACUACUAACCUACUUAGUGCAGCCAAGGUUCACUGCAGGAUUAAACUAUCAAAGUGUCGAAGGAUUCAAGAUUUUCUUCGACAAAAUCCAACCUACUUAACAGUAAAUUCAAGUUCAAACUUUCCAGCAGGAAGAAAUGGGAACUAAAACACGUCAUCUUGCUUUCAGAUGAUGACAUCUACUACAUGAAUACAUGGGUGAUUCCGUUCUAACUGUGAUAUUCAAUGUCCUGUAUUGUUUUUUUGUACUAGUCAUUAAUUAAUAAUCAAUUAAUAAAAAUUUUGUGUUAAUUGAAUAAUUCUUAAGAUAUUUAAACAUUAUUUUUAUACAAUAUAACUUGCCACUUAAAGAAAACUUAUACUACAUCACUUGAAUGUCAGUACCGUGUCAUGUCCAUUCCUAGAAUUUACCGAUAAAUUAUUAAUUUUUUUUGUCGUAACAAAUGAUUUAAACUAAUUACCUUAUAAAUUCUAAUGUUUAUGAUCAAACUGAGGAAAAUUGAUGCACUUGUUGUUUAAUAUCUUAAGUUACCAUGUCAGUACCGUGGAUAAAUGAGUCAGUACCGUGGAACUCAAAAUCCGACAUUUGUGUCUUGCUCGUGAUACUUUGAAGUUGUAGUAAAUUCCUCUUAGAGUUUUAUUUUUACAGUAAAAUAGAUGAAUAAUAUGCAUAAAAAAGUUAGAAAAGUUAAAUUUUAAAAUCUUGAAAUUUUGAAUACAAAAAAUCACAGUUAGAACGGAAUCACCCACAUCUAAAAAGUAUAUAAGCAAAAAGGAAGUAAAGGACAUGCUUCUGUUAGGUACCUAGGCUUACUUCCGUAGAUAAUAUCCACCAUAUCAAAGCAGAUUUUGAAUUGCUACAAUGCGCUAGCUGUCGAAAGGUAGAUUUGCUUUGAAAGCACUCGUCUUCUGCAACAAAUCUUGGUGUACAUUUCAGAAUUGAUCAUUCUACGUUGCUCUAUUGGAACGGUGACGAAAUAUUCGACAAAACAGUCGACCAUUUGCCUCCAAGUGCUAAUGAAGUGCGCGAACAAUUUCAGUUGGAUUUGGCUCGUCUUGAUAGAUUGACAAAUCUUUUUGACAGCCAAAUCUUCAAUGUAUGCGAGUGAAACUAAUGCCUCUAUCUCACAGUAUGUCACAUGACGAUCUGGCAAUAUCAGUUGACCCAGAACAUCGAUUUAUAUCAAUUUUUAGACCAAGACGAAUAUUUCAAGUUUCAACUCAAAUAGCAUUCGUAUUACAACACGCUCACCAUUAAAAAUGUCAAACUUCAUGAUGGUUACGUUAGGGCCUUUUCACACCAAACGAAUCCGAAUCAAUCAGAAUCACUCCUAAUCAAGUUGAAUCUGAUUCAAUCAGGUUUGAUUCGAGGUUGCACUUGAUUCAACCUGAUUCCUCGUACGGUCAGUCUUGAAUCAACAACCAUACGAGAUGGACGUGGAGUUACUAAUUUUAAAAGUUUUUAUUGCGCAGUGAUUCAGCGGGUGUGAAAGGGUGGAGAUGACUAAUCAGAUUCAACUUGAUUCGGAUUCGUUUGGUGUGAAAGGGGCCUUAGAUAUGACAUAUUCACAUAUCUCAAAACUUGAGUAGCAGCCCUCGUAUUUUCUAUUGCUACAGCUUCACGGUAUUUAUGAUUUUACUCUUUUAAAUGUUGAACAGGAUUUGGUUUUGUUUAAUUUAAAUCGUCACAUUUUUCUGGUUAGUUCAUUGGUCGCUUUUAGAAAUGUCUUGUUCUCGAAUUUUCAUUUUUUGCAAUCAGAUUUUGACAUUAAUAUUAUUCUAAUGGUGGGUAACGAAAUUAGUUGGAAAAUAAAUAUGAUAUCUUGAAUACAGACACAUAAAUUCAAUGGAAGAAUUUGUUUAUCGAUUACCAAUGCCAAUGUUUUUUUUUUCAUAAUUGCUAGUCACUAUUUCCACUGGAAUUUUUAAAAUAAUAAUCGUCGUAGCCUUAAGAAGAAUCGGACGGCGUUAUUUGAAGAAACCUUCGUUUUAAUAUAUACAAUUACAUCAUUUAACUGUACGUUUCAUGUACGAAAUAAAAACAAAUUGUAUAUAUAA